GUAGUCUCGCACAGAUGCAUAUCAAUAAGCGGAGGAAAAGAAACUAACAAGGAUUCCCUCAGUAACGGCGAGUGAAGCGGGAAGAGCUCAAAUUUGAAAUCUUGAAAGGUCACCUUUCACGAAUUGUAGUUUAAAGAAGUGUUUUCUGUUACGAUCGUAAUAUAAGUUCUUUGGAAUAGGACAUCACAGAGGGUGAGAAUCCCGUCUAUGAUUGCGAUUUGUAGCUUUGUGAUACACUUUCAAAGAGUCGGGUUGUUUGGGAAUGCAGCCCAAAACGGGAGGUAAAUUUCUUCUAAGGCUAAAUAUUGGCGAGAGACCGAUAGCGAACAAGUACCGUGAGGGAAAGAUGAAAAGAACUUUGAAAAGAGAGUUAAAUAGUACGUGAAAUUGUCAAAAGGGAAGCGUUUAACACCAGUGUUGUUUUCUGAAAAUCAACCUCUGUUAGCUUUAUGCAUGUUUGUUUAGACCUAAUCAGCUAUCUUGCAGUGUUCUAUUGUUUGUAGUGGUGCACUUUUCAGGUUUACAGGUCAACAUCAGUUUUUUUUACCGUAAAAAAGUUAAAGAAAGGUAGCUCAUGGCUCCGGUCGUGAGUGUUAUAGUCUUUUUCCUAUGCGGUAGGAGAGACUGAGGUCUGCAGUGUAGGCUAUUUGGCUAGAUACUCAGGUGCUAUGUGAUACCAUUUCAUAAACAACUUGUUGAUUAUGUUUUGUCUAUUGCAUACUCGCUUGUACUAUCAUACCUACGCUUAGGAUGUUGAGUCGUAGAGCACGCAG
rnacentral:rRNA from 1 species